rnacentral:rRNA from 1 species
CCCUUAGAUGUUCUGGGCUGCACGCGCGCUACACUGAUGCGUUCAACGAGUUUUUGACCUUGCCUGACACGGUUGGGUAAUCUUGUUAAAACGCAUCGUGAUGGGGAUAGAUUAUUGCAAUUAUUGAUCUUCAACGAGGAAUUCCUAGUAAGCGUGAGUCAUCAGCUCGUGCUGAUUACGUCCCUGCCCUUUGUACACACCGCCCGUCGCACCUACCGAUUGAAUGGUCCGGUGAAAUCUCCGGACUGGCGUGAGUCGGAGCAAUCUGACAAACGCCGGAAAGUUGAUUAAACCUUACCAUUUAGAGGAAGGUGAAGUCGUAACA